ACACAGGGAUGGGGAGCACGGAUUUGGGGAGCACCCACACCCAGCAGAGCCCCCCCCCGGCACACCAUGGUCUGGGGGGGCCUUCCCAGGCUCCCCUUGCACGGUUUUGGGGUGCCCUUCCCCUCCAUCCUCCCCCCACUGCAGAAUCCAGUCCCUGCUCUCCCCUGGGACUGGGAACUGUGGGAGAUUCCACCCUGAGGGCUCUCCCGGUGCCAGCUGUGCCCCCCUCACCUGCGAAGGUGGGGCCUUUCCUCCUGGUUUUCCGGCUGUCUGUGACGUUGUUGUCUGGGGGGAAGAGAUUGGGAAUCACUGGAUGGCAAAUCCAUGGAAUCGUUGGGGUUGGAAAAGCCUUCUGAGCCCGUGAAGUCUCCCCAGCACUGCCAAGGCCACCCCUGCCCACGUCCCCAUGUGCCACAUCCACAGGGCUGUUCAAUCCCUCCGGGCUUUUAAAUCCUUCUGAAUUCCGAUCCCGGCAGGAUCCCGUGGGAAUCACUCACAGGCUGCAGAGAACCAUCUCAUGAAGUCCUGGAGCUUCCUUGGGCCCCUCCUCUUCCUCUUGCCUCCCACCACGUCGUCCAGGCUGUGUGACAUCAGGAAGGGCCUCCCUGCAGGUGACACAGCAUUCCCAGACAGACACAUGGACACAAGGACAACCACCUGGAUCCCCCUCAGCCAGGUGACACCACUCACCUGCCUCCUCAGAGAAGCUAAGUGCCCGGACUGGAGCCACACUGGCACUUGGAUGCUCCACACCAGGAGCAGAUCCCGGAGCUCCUGCCAGGGCACAGUGGCAGGUGACAGUGAGAGAGACAUCGGGGUCAAGGGAACGACGUUCACAGCCUGGCAGGGUAAGGGAAUUUGGGAAGGAGCCCGGGAAAGGCCCUGGCACAGGUGUCACUGUCCCCAAGGCCACCACUCCUGCUGGAAUGGCCCUGGGAUUCACCCAGGAAAACCCUUCCACAAGGAGGGACAAAAGGAGACGGGUCCCUCUUACACUGGGCUGCUGAUUCCUGCUCAUGUCCACGCUGGCCUGGCUGGUGUCCUUGAUGUCAUCCAGGGACAAGAACUGCCGGGAGAGCCACGAGAGUGUCACCCCCAGCACACCAAAGGAUCCCACUGGAGCAGGGCAGGGGGACACAGAACAUUCCCACUGAGGGAUCCCACUGGAGCAGGGCAGGGGGACACAGAACAUUCCCACUGAGGGAUCCCACUGGAGCAGGGCAGGGGGACACA